UACGUGAGUGACGAGCGUUAUCCGGAAUUACUGGGCGUAAAGGGCUCGUAGGCGGCCAACUAAGUCCGACGUGAAAUCCCAAGGCUUAACCUUGGAACUGCGUCGGAUACUGGAUGGCUUGAAUUCGGGAGAGGGAUGCAGAAUUCCAGGUGUAGCGGUGAAAUGCGUAGAUAUCUGGAGGAAUACCGGUGGCGAAGGCGGCAUCCUGGACCGACAUUGACGCUGAUGAGCGAAAGCUAGGGGAGCAAACGGG
rnacentral:rRNA from 1 species